rnacentral:rRNA from 1 species
GUCCACGCCGUAAACGAUGUCGACUUGGAGGUUGUGCCCUUGAGGCGUGGCUUCCGGAGCUAACGCGUUAAGUCGACCGCCUGGGGAGUACGGCCGCAAGGUUAAAACUCAGAUGAAUUGACGGGGGCCCGCACAAGCGGUGGAGCAUGUGGUUUAAUUCGAUGCAACGCGAAGAACCUUACUUGGCCUUGACAUCCACGGAAGUUUUCAGAGAUGAGAAUGUGCCUUCGGGAACCGUGAGACAGGUGCUGCAUGGCUGUCGUCAGCUCGUGUUGUGAAAUGUUGGGUUAAGUCCCGCAACGAGCGCAACCCUUAUCCUUUGUUGCCAGCGGUCCGGCCGGGAACUCAAAGGAGACUGCCAGUGAUAAACUGGAGGAAGGUGGGGAUGACGUCAAGUCGUCAUGGCCCUUACGACCAGGGCUACACACGUGCUACAAUGGCGCAUACAAAGAGAAGCGACCUCGCGAGAGCAAGCGGACCUCAUAAAGUGCGUCGUAGUCCGGAUUGGAGUCUGCAACUCGACUCCAUGAAGUCGGAAUCGCUAGUAAUCGUGGAUCAGAAUGCCACGGUGAAUACGUUCCCGGGCCUUGUACACACCGCCCGUCACACCAUGGGAGUGGGUUGCAAAAGAAGUAGGUAGCUUAACCUUCGGGAGGGCGCUUACCACUUUGUGAUUCAUGACUGG